rnacentral:rRNA from 1 species
CUUGCUCUUAAGAAGUUAGCGGCGGACGGGUGAGUAACACGUAGGUAACCUGCCUAUAAGACUGGGAUAACUCCGGGAAACCGGGGCUAAUACCGGAUAACAUUUUGCACCGCAUGGUGCGAAAUUGAAAGGCGGCUUCGGCUGUCACUUAUAGAUGGACCUGCGGCGCAUUAGCUAGUUGGUGAGGUAACGGCUCACCAAGGCGACGAUGCGUAGCCGACCUGAGAGGGUGAUCGGCCACACUGGGACUGAGACACGGCCCAGACUCCUACGGGAGGCAGCAGUAGGGAAUCUUCCGCAAUGGACGAAAGUCUGACGGAGCAACGCCGCGUGAGCGAUGAAGGCCUUCGGGUCGUAAAGCUCUGUUGUUAGGGAAGAACAAGUAUGAGAGUAACUGCUCGUACCUUGACGGUACCUAACCAGAAAGCCACGGCUAACUACGUGCCAGCAGCCGCGGUAAUACGUAGGUGGCAAGCGUUAUCCGGAAUUAUUGGGCGUAAAGCGCGCGCAGGUGGUUUCUUAAGUCUGAUGUGAAAGCCCACGGCUCAACCGUGGAGGGUCAUUGGAAACUGGGAGACUUGAGUGCAGAAGAGGAAAGUGGAAUUCCAUGUGUAGCGGUGAAAUGCGUAGAGAUAUGGAGGAACACCAGUGGCGAAGGCGACUUUCUGGUCUGUAACUGACACUGAGGCGCGAAAGCGUG